UACAGAGGUGGCAAGCGUUGUUCGGAAUUACUGGGCGUAAAGGGCGCGUAGGCGGCCUUCUAAGUCAGACGUGAAAUCCCCCGGCUUAACCUGGGAACUGCGUCUGAUACUGGGAGGCUUGAGUACGGGAGAGGGUGUGGGAAUUCCUGGUGUAGAGGUGAAAUUCGUAGAUAUUCGCAAGAACACCAGUGGCGAAGGCGGCUCACUGGCCCGUAACUGACGCUGAGGCACGAAAGCGUGGGGAGCAAACAGG
rnacentral:rRNA from 1 species